UGGUGGAGUGAUUUGUCUGGUUAAUUCCGUUAACGAACGAGACCUUACCCUGCUAAAUAGGAGCCUAAUGUUCAAUUGGGUAUCCUUCUUAGAGGGACUAUGUGUGCAAACACAUGGAAGUUUGAGGCAAUAACA
rnacentral:rRNA from 1 species